UGGGGAAUCAUGGUCAAUGGGCGAAAGCCUGAACCUGCGACGCCGCGUGAGUGAUGAAGGUCGUAAGAUCGUAAAACUCUUUUCAGGGAUCUUAAAGCACAACCGUCAACAACAGUUGUGUGUGACUCUCCCUGGAAUAAGCCCCAGCCAACUACGUGCCAGCAGCUGCGGUAAUACGUAGGGGGCGAGCGUUAUUCGGAAUUACUGGGUGUAAAGGGUAUGUAGGCGGUCUCGCGAGUCGCACGUCAAAGUCCAGCGCUCAACGCUGGGUUCGCGCGCGAUACUGUGGGACUAGAGGGCUGGAGAGGUGAGCGGAAUUCCCGGUGUAGUGGUAAAAUACGUAGAUAUCGGGAGGAACACCGAGCGGCGUAGGCGGCUCACUAGACAGUUUCUGACGCUA
rnacentral:rRNA from 1 species